rnacentral:rRNA from 1 species
GUGGGUAGUUUGACUGGGGCGGUCUCCUCCUAAAGAGUAACGGAGGAGCACGAAGGUUGGCUAAUCCUGGUCGGACAUCAGGAGGUUAGUGCAAUGGCAUAAGCCAGCUUGACUGCGAGCGUGACGGCGCGAGCAGGUGCGAAAGCAGGUCAUAGUGAUCCGGUGGUUCUGAAUGGAAGGGCCAUCGCUCAACGGAUAAAAGGUACUCCGGGGAUAACAGGCUGAUACCGCCCAAGAGUUCAUAUCGACGGCGGUGUUUGGCACCUCGAUGUCGGCUCAUCACAUCCUGGGGCUGAAGUAGGUCCCAAGGGUAUGGCUGUUCGCCAUUUAAAGUGGUACGCGAGCUGGGUUUAGAACGUCGUGAGACAGUUCGGUCCCUAUCUGCCGUGGGCGCUGGAGAACUGAGGGGGGCUGCUCCUAGUACGAGAGGACCGGAGUGGACGCAUCACUGGUGUUCGGGUUGUCAUGCCAAUGGCACUGCCCGGUAGCUAAAUGCGGAAGAGAUAAGUGCUGAAAGCAUCUAAGCACGAAACUUGCCCCGAGAUGAGUUCUCCCUGAGACUUAAAGUCUCCUGAAGGAACGUUGAAGACGACGACGUUGAUAGGCCGGGUGUGUAAGCGCAGCGAUGCGUUGAGCUAACCGGUACUAAUGAACCGUGAGGCUUAA